AGCCUGAUGUUUUUUAUAUUAGGUAAGCUCUGCUCAAUGAUUUUAUUAAAUAGCCGCAGUACUUUGACUGUGCAAAGGUAGCAUAAUAAUUUGGCUUUUAAUUGGAGUCUGGAAUGAAUGGGUACAUGGAUAUAGGCUGUCUUAUACUAAUUACUUAUAACUUUUUUAAUUAAGUGAAAAUACUUAAAGAAAUAUAAUAGACGAGAAGACCCUAGAAAUUUUAAAUUAAUAGGUUUUUUUUUACUUUAUAUUUUUGUUGGGGCAACAAGAUUACAUUGUAAAAUAGUUUUUUUUAUAUUCAAUUUAGAAGAAUUUAUUAAGAAAAAUUAAAUUACUCUAGGGAUAACAGCAUAAUUUAUUUAUAAGUUUGUGACCUCGAUGUUGGAUUAGGAAUAAGUUAGAUUAGAAGUUUAACUUUUGGUUCUGUUCGAACUUAAUUUUCCUACAUG
rnacentral:rRNA from 1 species